rnacentral:rRNA from 1 species
UAGGGAAUCUUCGGCAAUGGGGGCAACCCCGACCGAGCAACGCCGCGUGAGUGAAGAAGGUUUUCGGAUCGUAAAGCUCUGUUGUAAGUCAAGAACGAGUGUGAGAGUGGAAAGUUCACACUGUGACGGUAGCUUACCAGAAAGGGACGGCUAACUACGUGCCGGCAGCCGCGGUAAUACGUAGGUCCCGAGCGUUGUCCGGAUUUAUUGGGCGUAAAGCGAGCGCAGGCGGUUUGAUAAGUCUGAAGUUAAAGGCUGUGGCUCAACCAUAGUUCGCUUUGGAAACUGUCAAACUUGAGUGCAGAAGGGGAGAGUGGAAUUCCAUGUGUAGCGGUGAAAUGCGUAGAUAUAUGAAGGAACACCGGUGGCGAAAGCGGCUCUCUGGUCUGUAACUGACGCUGAGGCUCGAAAGCGUGGGGAGCGAACAGGAUUAGAUACCCUGGUAGUCCACGCCGUAAACGAUGAGUGCUAGGUGUUGGAUCCUUUCCGGGAUUCAGUGCCGCAGCUAACGCAUUAAGCACUCCGCCUGGGGAGUACGACCGCAAGGUUG